rnacentral:rRNA from 1 species
UACAGAGGUCUCAAGCGUUGUUCGGAUUCAUUGGGCGUAAAGGGUGCGUAGGUGGCGGGGUAAGUCGGAUGUGAAAUCUCAGGGCUCAACCCUGAAACUGCAUUCGAUACUGCCUUACUCGAGGACUGGAGAGGAGAUUGGAAUUCACGGUGUAGCAGUGAAAUGCGUAGAUAUCGUGAGGAAGACCAGUGGCGAAGGCGGAUCUCUGGACAGUUCCUGACACUGAGGCACGAAGGCCAGGGGAGCAAACGGG